CAAGGUUUCCGUAGGUGAACCUGCGGAAGGAUCAUUAUUGAAUAACUUGGUGUUGAGCUGGCCCUAUUGGGCAUGUGCUUGCAUCAUAUUAUUUAUCUAUCUCUUGUGCACCUUUUGUAGUCUUUGAAGUGCUUCGCAGUCAAUGCGGUUUUGGGGCUUGGGCUUUGCCCUUUUCCCUGUUUGCUCUUCAAAGGCUAUGUUUUUAUACACACUAUUUGAAGUCACAGAAUGUCUCUUAUUGACUUUCGAGUCAGUAAAUCUAUACAACUUUCAGCAACGGAUCUCUUGGCUCUCCCAUCGAUGAAGAACGCAGCGAAAUGCGAUAAGUAAUGUGAAUUGCAGAAUUCAGUGAAUCAUCGAAUCUUUGAACGCACCUUGCGCCCUUUGGUAUUCCGAAGGGCAUGCCUGUUUGAGUGUCAUUAAAUUCUCAACCUUGCAAGCUUUUUGUUUGUGAGGCUUGGAUGUGAGGGUUUUGCUGGCUUCCUUUCAUUUGGAUGGUCUGCUCCCUUUAAAUUCAUUAGUGGGAUCCUUUGUGGAUGGUCACUUGGUGUGAUAAUUAUCUACGCCGCCUGACUCUGAAACAAGACUUGUGGGAACCCGCUUAUAACCGUCUCUUUCAGAGACAACCUUAUCUUGACAAUUUGACCUCAAAUCAGGUAGGACUACCCGCUGAACUUAAGCAUAUCAAUAAGCGGAGGAAAAGAAACUAACAAGGAUUCCCCUAGUAACUGCGAGUGAAGCGGGAAAAGCUCAAAUUUAAAAUCUGGCGGCUC
rnacentral:rRNA from 1 species